GCUGCGGGCGGGGUCGGGCGCCCCGCGCGGUCCCUCCGCCGCGGCUCCCCUGGGCUGCGGAGUGCUGCGCCCAGCAGUUUUCGGCGGAGCCCUGGGCGGGUCGCAGCCCCUGCCUCUCGCCUGUCGCGGCUCACAAAACCAGAGCAUCUAAGCGCGCUCGUUAUUUCUGCUUCCUCGGUCCUCUCGGUUUUGUGGCGCUGUGUGUGCCUGUGCCUGGACUGUUCGAAGGAGUACAUUAAAUACUCUGCUCCCACGGUAUUCGGUUGCGUUCGAGUUCACGCUCCACGCUGAAGAAAUGGAACCUAGCCGGCGUUUAGCAUCUAAUUCCGUUUUCCAGCUACAUUUCUGAUUGCCGGUGCCUAGCUAGUUGCGCGUUCACGGUGUGCGGAAGCACUGGGUAAGGGAUCAUCUCAUUUAAUCGUCGCUUGAGCCUUAAGGUACUAGUGCUGCCAUCCUGAUGUAACAGUCCAGGUGCCAGACAGAGUGAAGAAGCCAUCCUGGACAUCCAGCCCUGGGCUUUUGGUGUCAUAAGAAAGAAAGCAUCGCCUAAUGCAAGCAUCUUCAGCUAGAAUUUUCCUCAAAAAAAGACAUAUUUCUGAAAAACCAGAAGGCAUAAAACAAUUCAGAAAGUGAAGAAAAAAAAGAAGAAGAAGAGGAGGAGGAGGAAGAGGAAGAAGAAGAAGAACCAACCCACAAGUAUGCAAACAGAUGGGUAAAAAUCUUUAAAAAGAAAAAAGAAAAAGAAAAAGAAAAAAAGAUUUGCCUUUUCCCAACUUCAAGUUAACCUGAAGUCUGCCAGUUUACUUGGAAGGCCUGGGUGGCCCCUUACAGCUUCAUUUUCCAGCCUGUGCCUUAAAACUCCAGAGAAAUGCUUCCUCCUAUUAACAAUGUCAGACUCUCAGAAAAUUAUUGAGUAGUGCAAAUAAUUCAAUAAAACAAAUAUUUAGAAGAAUACGACUCUUUUUCAUUCAUUCAUUCAUUCAUUCAUUCAUUCAUUCUUUUUCAUGUUCUGGUGUACAUGCAUGCUCAACUGUUCCAUUCUGGAUCUCUCCAGAAGCAUCCACUAUAUACUCAAAUCUACAUCAAGAUUUAGUUUAAAAAGUAGAAAAGAGUGGACGGAGUUUAAAACAUAAAACAAGGCAAGGGGUCGGGGGUGAUGGUGGUUAAAAUCCACCCCUGGCUAUUAAUUCCAGACCAGUGACACGACAAGAUAAAUAUAUUUUUCCCUAGUUUGUUCCAUAAGCUGGCCAAACCCAAUCAUUUGUCUUCCUGCAAAGUGGUGAGCGAUCACUGAGACUGUGUUUUCCUUUUUGAUAUGCAUUUUGUGUCUAGA